rnacentral:lncRNA from 1 species
UGUUAAGAAUGUGUCAAAAGGUUAUCAGAGAUGAACGUAUAAAACAUUCAAUUAUAUGAAUAGCUGGCUGACCCCUAUAUGUAUAUAUAGCACAUAGUAAAGGAAAAUAGGAACACAGUAAUAUAAUUUGGAUCCUUGUCCCCUCUAAACCUCAGGUUGAAAUGUGAUCCCCACUGUGGAAAGUGUGACUUGGCAAGAGGUAUGACAAGGCAGAUCCCUCAUGAAUGGCUUGGUGCACUCCCCCUGCUAAUAGGCGAGGGUCCUUGCUCUGUUACUUCACAGGAUGUCUUCCUCUCUCUUCCUCUCCCUCUCUCCAAGUGACACACCUGCUCCUCCAAGCAAUAACAAGUAAAGGCUUUGCGAAGCACAAGUAACAGCUUCCUGAGGCCACCACAGACUCUGAGCAGCUGUUAGUGUCAUGUUUGCAUGGCCUGCAGAACCUAAUAAACCUAUUUUCUUAAAUUAUUUUAUAUUUAUUUAUUUAUAGUUUUAUUUUUUUUCAAGGCAGAGUCUUACUCUGUUGCCCAGGCUGGAGCACUGCAGCGCAAUAGCACAAUCUUGGCUCACUGCAAUCUCCAUAUCCUGGGUUCAAGCAAUUCUCCUGCCUCAGCCUCACAAGUAGGUGGGAUUACAGUUGAGCACCACCAUGCUUGGCUAAUUUUUGUAUUUUUACUAGAGACGGGGUUUCGCCAUGUUGGCCAGGCUGGUCUCAAACUCCUAAUCUCAGGUGAUCCACCCGCCUCGGCCUCCCAAAGUGCUGGGAUUACAGGCAUAAGCCACCGCGCCCGGCCACAAAAACUAAUUUAAAGCACUUGAAAAUAUUAAACAUGCCACCUUCCCCACCAUUAUUAACUAUUAUUGUACUUCUACUAUGCAACUUGGAUCAAAAAAUUUUAGGAGUACCUAAGUGUGAUGAUUUGGUUUUCACAUUCAUGUGUGAGCUGUGCCUGCCUUUUGUUACAAGGGCAUAUUACCCUUUGUUGUGAAAAAAACUUUUUUGAUCGGACACAGAGGCUCAGUCCUGUAAUCCCAGCAGUUUGGAAGGCUAAGGUGGGACAUCAUUUAAGGCCAGGAGCUAGAGACUAAUCUGAGCAACACAGCAAAUGUAGUUUAAAAAAAAAAAAACCCUAAGUAAUAUAAUUAUGGUAAUUACUUACUGUAAUAAAUCCAUAUCCCUUGGAUCGACCAGUUUCACUGUCCAUCAUCAGCUGGAUACUUUCAAUCUAUAAUUGAAAAGCAUAAUUACUAUAACUUAAAAGCAGAGUACAAAACUACUUUCUUCCCUGAGACAUGGUUUUAAAAAUCUACCAGUCUCCUCAUCCUCCAAAAUAGAAGACUUAUCACAAAACCUCAUCACCAAGAAGUCUUUUUUAAGUCUAGAAACUAUAAUUUUAUAUGUAAAAUGAAAAAAAUUAGGCUGGGCGUGGUGGUCGGCGCCUGUAAUCCCAGCAUUUUGGGAGGUUGAGGGAGGCGGAUCACCUGAGGUCAGGAGUUUGGGACCAGCCUGGCCAACAUGACGAAAUCAGGUCUCCACCAAAAAUACAAAAAUUGUCUGGGCUUGGUGGCGCAUGCCUGUACGCCCAGCUACUUGGAAUGCUGAAGCAGAAGAAUUGCUUGAACCCGGGAGGCAGAGGUUGCAAUGACCCCAGAGCACGCCACUGUACUCCAGCCUGGACAACAGAGCGAGACUUGGUCUCAAAAAACAAAACAAAAACAAAAAAAAAAAACAAACUCUAGAAACUUCCCAAGCGAGAAAUUAUGCACUGGGGAGCAGAGGGGAGAAAAAAAAACUAUGAUUGUAACCUAAGAUUAAUUUUUAUAUCAAUACUAAACCACUGAAAACCAGAAAUCCUUCGUAAAUUACCAAUAGAAGGUAGAAACAAAAUCAACGUUUCCUUCCCAUUGUGCUAAAAACACCAAGCAGUAAUUUCCAAUUAUACCAGACAGAAUCGUAAAAAUGGAAUGAAUUUGGCAAUAUACAAUGAAUUUGGCAAUAACUGCACAAUUCUGUGAAUUGUACUAACUAAAAACCAUUGAGUUUACGUUCAAUCAGUGAACUGUAACACAAUCUCCUGAUUUAGCUGUCCAUUUAAAAAAAGGUAUGAAAAAUUAAAACAGAGCAUCCAGCCAGGUGGGUUGGCUCAGGUCUGUAAUCCGAGCACUUUGGGAGGCAGGAGGAUCGCAUGUUAAGGAGGUGGACGCUACACAGUGAGCUUGCAUCAUGCUGUUGCACUCCAGCCUCAGUCACAGAGGGAGACUCUGUCUCAAACAAGAAAGGAACUUUUUUUUUUUUUGAGACGGAGUCUCGCUCUGUGGCGCAGGCUGGAGUGCAGUGGUGUGAUCUUGGCUCACUGCGAGCUCUGCCUCCCGGGUUCACACCAUUCUCCUGCCUCAGCCUCCCAAGUAGCUGGGACUACAGGCACCCACCACCACGCCCAGCUAAAUUUUUUGUAUUUUUAGUAUAGACGGGGUUUCACCGAGUUUGCCAGGAUGGUCUUGAUCUCCUGACCUCGUGAUCCACCCGCCUCGGCCUCCCAAAGUGCUGGGAUUACAGGCAUGAGCCACUGCGCCCAGCCCAAGGAACGAACUUUUAAUGUUAAGUAUAUUUUACCAAAAUUUUAAAAAAGAAACAAAGUUUAUUUGCUAGUAUUUGCUAAGCCACAGAAAGUCUAUGGAAGGAUAUAAAAAACAAAACAAAACAAAAAAAAAACGGGUAAGGGCUGCCUCUAGAAAAGGAGUAGUCGUGGAUGAAGUGGGACUAUGAUAGGGAUAAGAUAUUCUAGGAGCAUUAGCUAGCAAAAAGUAAACAAUAUAAACAUUUAGGCUGGGCUCGGUGGCUCCCACCUGUAGGUGUGAGCUGACAUGGGCAGACUAUCUGAGCUCAGGAGUUCGAGACCAGCCUGGGCACCACGGUGAAACCCUGUCUCUACUAAAACACAAAAAAGUAGGUUGGGCUCCGUGACUCAUGCCUGUAAUCCCACCACUUUGGGAGGCCGAGGAGGGCGAAUCACCAGAGGUCAGGAGUUUGAGACCAGCCUGACCAACAUGGAGAAAAACCCUGUCUCUACUAAAAAUACAAAAUUAGCAGGGUGUGGUGCCGCAUGCCUGUAAUCCCAGCUACUUGGGAGGCUGAGGCAGGAGAAUCGCUUGAACCUGGGAGAUGGGGGUUAUGGUGAGCUGAGAUCAUGCCAUUGCACUCCAGCCUGGGCAACAAGAGCAAUACUCCAUCUCAAAAAAAAAAAAAAAAAAAAAAAGCCAGGCAUGGCGGCAUGCACCUAUAAUCCCAGCUGCUAGGGAAGCUGUAGAAGAAUUGCUUGAACCUGGGAGGCAGAGGUUGCAGUGAGCUAUCGCACUCCAGCCUGGGUGACAGCGCAGGACUCAGACUCCAAAAAAAAUAAUAAAAUAAACCUUUAAAAAGGGCUUCUUAUUAAAGCUGCUACAUUAUGUUUACUGGAGUUGGGCACUUAAUGCAUACUAAUUGUUCUGGGGCAAAGGUAAGCAAACUACAUAUACCCCAUGAACCAACUCCAGCUUGACUUGUUUUAUAAAUCUUUCUCCUGUCUGAGCCUCCAGAGUAAGCUGGAACUACAGGCAUAUGCCACCCAAGACCGGCUAAUUUUUAUAUUUUUAGUAGAGAAGAGGUUUCACCAUGCUGGCCAGACUGGUCUCGAACUCCUCACCUCAAGUGAUCCACCCGACUCGGCCCCCAAAAGUGCAGGGAUCACAGGCAUGAGCCACUGUGCCUGGCCCAUACUCAAUUUCUUAAUAGCUUACAGCUGUUUGGAAGAGAGUUGAGUACUUGCAACAAGACCAUAUGGCACUGAAAACCUAAAAUGGGUCUGGGCGCAGUGGCUCACGCCUGUAAUGACAACACUUUGGGACACCGAGGCGGGUAGAUCACCUGAGGUCAAGAGUUCGAGACCAACCUGACCAACACACCAAAAAUUAGCUGGGCGUUGUGGUCAGAGCCUGUAAUCCCAGCUACUCAGGAGGCUGAGGCAGGAGAAUCAAUUGAACCUGGGAGGCGGAGGUUGCAGUGAGCCGAGACUGCACCACUGCACUCCAGCCUAGGCGCAAGGAGUGAAACUCCCAUCUCAAAAUUUAAGAAAUAGUUUGACAAAUCAGACUCUAGAGUAAUAAAAAUAAUUUAAAUAUCAACUGUUUCCUGAUGUUAAUUUUUAUAUGGUACACAGAUUUCUCAAAUAUCCAUGAUUAUUCUUUUUCUUUUCUUUCGGAGACACUCUGGCUCUGUUAUCCAGGCGUGAUCUCGGCUCACUGCAAUCUCUGCCACCCGGGUUCAAGUGACUCUCCUGCCUCAGCCUCUUAAGUAGCUGGGAUUAGAGGGAUGCGCCACCACACCCACCUAAUUUUUCUAUUUUUAGUAGAGACAAGGUUUUACCACGUUGGCCAAGCUGGUCUCAAACUCCUGACCUCAAGCGAUCCACUUGCCUCGGCCUCCCAAACAAAGAGAUGGGAUUACAGGUGUGAGCCACUGCACCUGGCCAGUGAAUAUAUUUUUAAAAGUUAAAUUUUAUUUGUUCUAUCUAGCUCCUUUUAAAUUUAUGCCUUUUGCUAAAAUUAUUGAGUGGAAAAGGUUCAUUCCUCACAGUGACAGGACAGUCUUGGCAACUUUCUCUCCUCAACACAGAACUAGUUGGACACUCUUGGUUUAGGUAGAUAGCACAAAGUCCUCUAGAACAAAAGCCAAGCUGCUCUGAAUUGAGCUCAAGACCACAAUGCCAGACACAAGGCCUCGUGGCGCCUGUGAAGCAGAUCAAGUUGGUUCCUCACUUUGCCAUGUAACAGCUCAUGUGGCCCCAACUGCUCUGAACUUCAUUUCUCCAUAUAGCACAUAAUGGCAUGUCAACCUCCACCUAAGAUCCAUGUUACUGAUAGAAAAGUCAAUGGAGGCCAGGUCCAGUGGCUCACACCUGUAAUCCCAGCACUUUAGGAGGCCGAAGCAGAUCACCUGAGGUCAGGAGUAUGAGACCAACUUGGCCAACAUGGUAAAGCCCUGUCUCUAAAAAAAAAAAAAAAAAUUAGUCGAGCAUGAUGGCAGGCACCUGUAAACCCAACUACUCGGAAGGCUAAAGCAAGAGAAUCGCUUGAACACAGAGAGGAGGAGUUUGCAGCGAGGCGAGAUUGUGCCACUGCACUCCAGCCUGGGCAGCAGAAUAAGACUCUGUCUCAAAAAGUCAAUGGAGAAAGUACCAGAGUGGAUCAGAAGUGGGUCACAUACUGUUAGGCAGAACAGCCUUGCCAGAGGGGCAUUCACCCACUGAAGAUUUCAACAGACAGAAAAAGGGCAAAUCUAAUCAGGCUACCAAGGCCUGGAACUGAGCACAUAACCAGGGAGACAGAGUAAUGUCUUUUUAAAGGUAAGGGUCUCGCCAGGCCAGGCUGGAGUGCAGUGGUGCCAUCCCAGCUCACUGCAACCUCUGCCUCCUAUAUUCAAGGGAGAAAUUCUGCUGCCUCGGCCUCCCGAGUAGCUGGGAACACAGAGACGCACCAACACGCCCAGCUAAUUUUUGUAUUUUUAACAGAGACGUGGUUUUACCAUGUUGGCCAGGAUGGUCUUGAUCUCAUAAUCUGCCCACCUCGGCCUCCCUCCCAAAAUGCUGGGGUUACAGGUGUGAGCCACCGCACCCGGCCAACAGAAAAGAAUCUUAAGAUAUUCAACUUUCUUUUAAAAACAAUCUUUUAAAAAAAAUCCUACUAAAAAAUAAUAGUCUUCGUAUGAUUUAACAAUUUUCCUUCUUUUGACACAGGAUCACACUGUUACCCAAGGUGGAGUGAAGUGGCAUAAUCAUGGCUCACUGCAACCUUGAAAUCCUGGGCUAAUGUCAUCCUCCUGCCUCAGCACCCCAAGUAGCUGGGAUUACAGGCAUGAGCCACCAUGCCCAGCCAAUGUGGACUUUUUAUUAACUCUAAUACCCAUUAUGCAUUUCACAUGGCAUUAUGAAUAACAGUAACAUUCUUUUAAGAAUCUAUCAAGUGACCUAUUUUAAUCUAUGUUGUCACAGAAAUUUUUAUAAAACCAGCCCUUAUCCUCUUAAUAUUAACUCACAGAAAGAUAACAAAGCAAGACAUACAGAAAUUAUGUAGUUAUACUCAGAUCAACAACCUACUGAAGAUUCAUUGAAGAACCUGGACUUACUCUUCCAAAAGGCUCAAAGAUCCCACGAAGCAUAUCUUCAGUUAUGUUGAAGUGUAAUGAGCCCACAUAAAGCCUCAUAGGUCCAGCACUUCCCUUUUGUAAAUUGUUUGCCAUUGCUGCAGCUCUGUUUUUUUCUGCCUAGAAGACAAAAUACACGUCACACAGAGAUAACACACAGCAGUUUAAAGACAUACACCUUCCAUUUGCAUAACAACUAAUGUUAAAGUUUAGAGUGAUAAAAAUACUACCCUACGUAAGUCAGAUACUACAUAUCAACUUAAUAGGAGGCAUCUAGAAUAUGCAAAAUUCAGAAAGAGGAGGUAGAUAACAUUUUACCAAGGGCCUGCAGGAAAUUAGGGAGUUACAGCUUCAAGAGUACAGUUUUUGGCUGGGCACGAUGGCUCACACCUGUAAUCCCAGCACUUUAGUAGGCUAAAGCAGCCAGAUCACGACAUCAAGAGAUCAAGACCAUACUGGCUAACACAGUGAAACACCAUCUCUACCAAAUAUAGAAAAAAUUAGCCGGGUGCGGUGGUGGGCACCUGUAGUCCCAGCUACUCAGGAGGCUGAGGCAGGAGAAUGGCAUGAACCCAGGAGGCAGAGCUUGCAGUGAGACGAGAUCACACCACUGCACUCCAGCCUGGGUGACAGAGUGAGACUCAGUCUCAAAAAAAAUAAAAAUAAAAAAAAAAAUAAAAAUAAAAAGUUUAUUUAGAGGCUUUUUUUUUUUUUUUUUUGAGACAGUCUCACACUAUGUUGCCCAAGCUGGUCUUGAACUCCUAAACUUAAGUGAUCAUCCUUCCUUCUCAUCCACUAGAGACUGCCAGGGACUACAGCACACCCCACAUCAUACCCUGCUUAUUUUAGAAUGUUUUCAGAGCACAUGCCAGUCACAUAUAAAGUAAGCAGGCUGGCCGGGUGCAGUGUCUCACGCCUGUAAUCCUAGCACUUUGGGAGGCCGAGGCGGACGGAUCACGAGGUCAGGAGAUCAAGACCAUCCUGGUUAACACAGUGAAACCCCGUCUCUACUAAAAAUACAAAAAAAUUAGCCGGGCGUGGUGGCAGGCACCUGUAGUCUCAGCUACUUGAGAGACUCAGGCAGGAGAAUGGCGUGAACCCAGGAGACGGAGCUUGCAGUGAGCCAAGAUCGCCCCACUGCACUACAGCCUGGGCGACAGAGCGAGACUCCGUCUCAAGAGAAAAAAAAAAAAAAAAGUAAGCAGGCUACAUUUCACACCUAAAAUGAAUCAUGAACCUACAUUCUUGACAACAAUCUUAAGAUGCAUUCUGAUACCACAAAUACUAAAUACAGAGAAAAAUGCUUCCUGGAAUUGUUAGACACAACCAACAUUCACUAAAAUACUCUUGAGAUUGGUAUAACCGAACGUAGUUGUUUGUGAUAAAAUAAGGUGUAUAUGCCAUAACAUAAAACUGUAUCACCAAGCAAACAUUUUGAGUCAGCUGUCAUCCCUCCAUAACCAAGAUCGCCUCAAAAAAAAAAAAAAAGAAAAGUUGUCCAUUUGCAUUCUAACACAGGCUUCUCUUGUAACAAACUAGAGUACAUUGGAUAGUACUGCUCUACAACAGGUUGCUGCAUGAAUUUAAAACCUCACUUAAUAUGCUACUUCUCAGCCCUGGGUCCCGCCAAUGCACACCCAGCCACUAAGUUUGUCUUCCAACAUAGGAAAUAAUUUGAGUAACUCUUUUUUCUUUUUGAGACACAGUCUUGGUUCUUGUCGCCCAGGCUGCAGUGCAAUGGCGUGAUCUUGCCUCACUGCAACCUCUGCCUCCUGGGUUUAAGCAAUUCUCCUGCCUCGGCCUCCUGAGUAGCUGGGAUUACAAGUGCCUGACACCAUGCCCAGCUAAUUUUUGCAUUUUAGUAGAGACAAGGUUUCACCAUGUUGGCCAGGCUGGUCUCGAACUCCUGACCUCAGGUGAUCCGCCCGCCUCAACCUCCCAAAGUGCUGGGAUUACAGGCAUGAGCCAUCGCGCCCAGCCAAAAUACUAAAAUAUUAAAUGCUGUCAAAGCGCUGUGCGGCUCAAGUGAUCCUAACACUUCAGGAGGCCCAGGCCAGAGGAUCACUUGAGCAUGACAGUUUGAAACCAGCCUGAGCAACAUGGCAAGACCCUGUUUCUUAAAAAAAUUUAAAAAUUAGCUGGGAGUGGUGGCACGCACCUGUAGACCUAGCUACUCAGGAGACUGGGGAGAAAAGACUGCUUGAGCCCAGCAGGUCAAGGCUACAGUGAGCUGUGAUUAUCUCACUGCACUCCAGCCCUGGCAACAGAAGUGAGACCCUAUCUCAAAAACAAGGCCAGGUGUGGUGGCUCACAACUGUAAUCUCAGCACUUUGGAAGGCUGGGGCAGGUGGAUCACCUGAGGUCAGGAGUUCAAUACUAGCCUGGCCAACAUGAUGAAACCCCAUCUCUACUAAAAACACAAAAAGUAGCCGAACGUGGUGGCAGGCUCCUGUAAUCCCAGCUACUCAGGAGGCUGAGGCAGGAGAAUCGCUUGAACCCAGGAGGUGGAGGUUGCAGUGAGCAGCGAUCAUGCCAUUGCACUCCAGCCUGGUGAGAGAGACUCCAUCUCAAAAACAAAACAAAAAAAAGGCAAAAUCAUUACAUUUCAAACACAAGGAGAAACGACAGGACGACAGUCUUGAGAAAACUGUAUCAAUGUUAAUAAACGCAAAGUUAAAAAAAAAAAAAAAGUCCUGAAAACAUCCGACUCAACGUAAUGAGCAGCAGUCACAGAACACAACAGCACUAUACCAUGCAACAGGAGGCUUUCAACACCACCAAUAAUCAAACUCUUAACCAACAAAAAAAUUACCUGUGAUGCCUGUACUAUGAUUGGCACGCCUAAAACUCGUUGGCCAGUUAAUCCUAUUGCUAGAGGCACUGAGCUAACAUCGACGAACUCCACAUAAGCAAUUCCUUUGGAACGUCUUGAAUUUCUGUCAGAAAUCAUCCUCACAUCUCGAACCUAGAAAGAAAACACAGUUGUUUGUGCAAACAUCCAUUGUAACACAUGUAGAAUUAUUUCAAGAGACACUGUUGAAGGAUGAAGGUAUUUUUAAAAAUUUAAUUAAAAAAGUAAAUCUGUAGGACAAUUCCUAUAUCCUAUCUUUAUCUUUGAACAAAUUUGUAGUAACAUUUAUCAACUCCAAUACUACAAGAGGCAAAAUGGAAACAUUACCACAAACAAAUACUGCUACUAAAUCAAAUGAAGUAUUUGAUGUUUACAUGUUUUCUCUUGCAAUUUCUACCUACUUGACCUCCCUAAACAGGUUAAGAUUACCUUUCCUACUGUAGAGAAAAACUCUUCCAAAUCCCUUGGUCGAAUUCUUGCCGCCAGCUGCAUACAGAAGACUGUCCUUGCAUCUCUUUCCUCAGGAGUUAAAUUAUCAAUAGGUUCUCUAAUAGGAGUAAAACAUAUAAAAUUAAUUUCAUAACAGAUUUUAAAAUAAUUUUUAUCUUUUUUAUUUCUUCAUAUAGUUCAACAGGUUUUCAGGUACAGGUGGGUUUUGGUUACAUAGAUGAGUUCUUUAAUGGUGAAUUCUGAGAUUUUAGUGUACCUGUCACCUGAGCAGUAUAUACUGUACCCUCACUCCUUUCCCAACUCCACAACAAUAUUUCCAUCUUUAGAAACCAGGUCUUGCUAUGCUGCACAAGUUGGUCUUGAACUACUGAUCUCAAGCAAUCCUUUUGCCCUAAACUCCCCCAUAGCUACGGCAUUUCACCAUGUUAACUAGGCUGGUCUCGAACUCCUGACCUCAGAUGAUCCGCCUGCCUUGGCCUCCCAAAGUGGUGGGAUAACAGGUGUGAGCCACUACGCCUGGCCUAAAAUAAUUCUCAAACAUGUUCAGUAAACAGAGUAAGCUGUGAAACUGGUUUGUCAUAAUUCCCAAACCCAUUUUCUUUUUUUUUUUUUUUUUUUUCCAGAGGAAGUCUUGUUCUUGUCCCCCAGGCUUGGAGUGCAACGGCGCCAUCUUGGCUCACCACAACCUCCGCCUCCCUGAGUUCAAGCAAUUCUGCUGCCUCAGCCUCCUGAGUAGCUGGGACUACAGGCGCCUGCCACCACACCCAGCUAAUUUUUGUAUUUUAAGUAGAGAUGUGGUUUCACCAUGUUGGCCAGGCUGGUCUCCAACUUUUGAUCUCAGGUGAUGUGCCCGCCUCGGCCUCCCAAAGUGCUGGGAUUACAGGCAUGAGGCACCGCACCCGGCCAACCCAAGCCCAUUUUCAGUAAGAUCUAUUGACAAAAAAUGCGCAUAAAACUAUUCAAUGUAACUCAAUUCCUUCUAAAAACUAAGGUUUACUGUUUCUUGUAAUCACAUCUUACAUGGCAUUAGCACAGAAGUCUACUGGCCUUACCAUCUCAAAAAAAGUAAUUUUUCUUUUCUUUUUUUGUUUUUGAGAUGGAGUCUCACUGUCACUCAGGCUGGAGUGCAGUGGCGCAAUCUCGGCUCACUGCAACCUCCGCCUCCAGGGUUCAAGCAAUUCUUCUGCCUCAGCCUCCCGAGUAGCUGGGACUACAGGUGUGUGCCACCAUGCCUGGCUAAUUUUCUGUAUUUUUAGUAGACAUGGGAUUCCACUGUGUUAGCCAGGAUGGUCUUGAUCUCCUGAUCUCGUGAUCCACCCGCCUCGGCCUCCAAAAGUACUCGGAUUGUAGGCGUCAGCCACCACGCCUGGCCCAAAAAGGGUAAUUUUUCUAAAACAAGGGUCAACCAGAAGCCUGACAGUUUAAUCAUAGUCAUAAAACAUAUCACCAGACCAAUCACAAAUGCCAGACUGAUCCAAAAUCAGUGUAAUGGAUGAUUCUUUACAACAAAACCAUGUAAUUGUAAAGUCAAAUUAAGUUUGACAAUCACAAAUGGCAAACUUGAAGUGAAACCCCAAAUGAUUCUACAAAUUCUACUUUACAAAUUUAGAUACAGUGUCUAUUAACAUCAUCUCUGUUACAAAAUAUCAAUUAAGGUUGUAAGUCAUCCUUUAAGAUGUAAGCCUAAACACGAUCUUUUCCAUUUUUUGGACACUCUCAGGAUGUACGGGGGUUGGGGUGGUCGCUCCACCUGUAAGAUUUGUCACAAAAGCUUUUUUUUCUUUUUGGAAACGCAGUCUAGCUGUCACCCAGGCUGGAGUGCAGUGGUGUGAUCUUGGCUCAUCACAACCUCCAUCUCACGGGUUCAAGCAAUUCUCCUGCCUCUCUUCCCGAGUAACUGGGAUUACACGCACGCGCCACUACAUCCGGCUAAUUUUUGUACUUUAUUAGUAGAGAUGGGGUUUCACCAUGUUGGUCAGGCUGGUCUCGAUAUCCUGACCUUAUUGUUACAGGCAUGAGCCACCACGCCAGGCACAAAAGCUUUUAAGGCCGGGAGUAGCGUGCAGAUUGCUUGGCCCUGGAUUUUCAGACCAACUGAGCAACAUGGCAAAACCUUGUCUCUACAAAAAAAAAAUAGAAAAAUUAGCAGGGCAUGGUGGCUGCACCUAUAGUCCCAGCUACUCGGGAGGCUAACCUGGGUGGGAUUGCUUAUGACCGGCCAUUAGAAACUGCAGUGAGACAUGAUUGCGUCACUGCACUAUAGCCUGGGUGACAAAGAGAAACCCUACCUCAAAAAAUAAAAAAUAAAAAUAAAAAAGCAAAUGCUUUCUAGCCGGGGGUCUCAAAAAAAAAAAAAAACACCCACAAUGCUACCACCUGACAAAAUAUUCCUUGAACCGAAAUCGUAGACUGAACAAAUACAGUUCCCUUUUUUUUUGUAGACAGUCUUGCUCUGUCACCAGGCUGGAGAGCAGUGGCGCAAUCUCAGCUUACUGCAACCCUUGCCUCCUGGGUUCAAGUGAUUCUCUUGCCUCAGCAUCCCAAGUAGCUGGGACUACAGGUGCACACCACCAUGCCCAGCUAAUUUUUGUAUUUUUUUUUUUUUUUUGAGACAGAGUUUCGCUCUUGUUGCCCAGGCUGGAGUGCAAUGGCGCGAUCUCGGCUCACUGCAACCUCCGCCUCUUGGGUUCAAGCGAUUCUCCUGCCUCAGCCUCCCGAGUAGCUGGGAUGACAGGUGCACACCACCACGCCCAGCUAAUUUUUUGUAUUUUUUAGUACAGACAGGGUUUCACCAUGGCCAGGCUGGUCUUGAACUUCUGACCUCAGGUGAUCCGCCUGCCUCGGCCUUCCAGAGUGCUGGGAUUACAGGCGUGAGCCACCACCACGCCUGGCCUAAUUUUUGUAGUUUUAGUAGAGGCAGGGUUUCACCAUGUUAGCCAGGCUGGUCUCGAUCUCUUGACCUUGUGGAUCCACCCACCUCAGUCUCCCAAAGUGCUGGGAUUACCCGCGUGAGCCACCGGGCCUGGCCUACAAUUCUUAUUUUUAAGAGUAAAAUAAUCCAUGGAAACUUCAUUGAAGAACCUAGGAGUAACAAUUCAAAUCACUAAGACUUCUGAGAUGAAAUAGUUUUCCUCAGGACAGCCAAAUAGUAAAACUUACUGUUACAACUACUUCUCCACGAGGCUAUUUCAAAUAACUCAUUAUUUAUUAAUUCCAAAGUUAAGUGUAAAGUUUGAUAUAACUGCUACGUUGCCAACACAAAGAAACAUUUAACACGAAUAAGCUAAUUACCCGAUUUGAUCAUUACACUGUAUACAUGUAUCAAAACGUAACUGUAUUACCCAUAUACAUAAUCAUUACAUGUCCAUUAAAAAUAAUAAAUGCAAAAAGUUUAUUUUAAUUAAAAUAGGAAAAUAAGAUUACAUUAAAAUAACUUUAGACUGGGAGUGGUGGCUCCUGCCUGUAAUCCCAGCACUUUGGGAGGCUGAGGAGGGCAGAUCAUGAGCUCAGGAGUUCAAGACCAGCCUGACCAACAUGGUGAAACCCCGUCUCUACUUAAAAUACAAAAAUUUGCCGGGCAUUGUGGCACAUGCCUGUACUCCCAGCUACUCGGGAGGCUGAGGCAGGAGAAUCACUUGAACCCAGGAGGCAGAGGUUGCAGUGAGCCGAGAUCCCACCACUGCACUCCAGCCUGGGUGACAGAGCGAGACUCCAUCUCAUAAAUAAAUAACUUUUGUGGCCGGGUGUGUUGGCUCACACCUGCAAUCCUACCACUUUGAGAGGCCAAGGUGGGUGGACCAUCUGAGGUCCGGAGCUCAACACUAGGCUAGCCAACAUGGUGAAAUCCCAUCGCUACUAAAAUAAAAAAAUAGCGAGGCAUGGUGGUGCAUGCCUGUAAUCCCAGCUACUUGGAGGGCUGAGGUAGAAGAACUGCUUGAACCCAGGAGGCGGAGGUUGCAGUAAGCCAAGACUGCACUACUGCACUCCAUCCUGGGUGACUGAGUGAGACUCCGUCUCAAAAUAAAUAAAUAAAUAAAUAAAUAAAUAUAUAACUGUUGCUUUAAUUAUAUGAAAUUAAAGUGAAAACUACUGAAAACUCAGUAGAAAUUCACUUGACCUUAAAGUACUGGAAGUGCAAAAGAAAGCAAAAGCAAGAUUUAAUAUGGUCCAAAUUACUAAAUAUCAUCAAAUUUAACAGUACCAUAAGCUGCAAAAGCUUUUUAAGAGCUAAAGGCUUUAAAGAAGUAAACUACCUCACAGGGCUCUUGUCUUUUCUGAAUGGACUUUUGCUUCGGGAACGUCGUCUGCUGCAAAGUUAAAAAGUUUCAGAAGUUAUCCAAACAAGUACAGCAUGUUAGUUCCUUGAAAAACAAUUUAAACAAUUCAGAAGUAUGUUUAAAAACCUUAAUUUGAUGCUAUGAGGCAACCCAAUCUUUCCUCGGAUGGCACUGUUAAAUUUUGGUCCGGAGCUAAAAAGGAAACACAAAAUUACACUAGUUACAGGUUUAGGGUCUUGCUAAGAUCGCAUUCAUGCGCUCUCCAGCAAGACUAACAUUGUUUAGGCUACUGCUUUUCCACCUCAGUUAUGAAGAGGAAACAAAAAUACUUGUCUCUUAACUUUAUUCCCAGGCAAGCUGCCCUUGUAUUUAUCCAUCCUGGACCACUGAGAGGUGCCAAGACCAAAGGUUACAGCCUCAAAAUUUUUAGAUUCUGAAAAUGCACACACCCAUUUUCAGACUUUAGAUAUCUUUGUAAGCUACAUAUAUAUAUACAGUCUUGAGAAUUAAAAAAAAAAAAACACACACACACAUAUAUAAAAAAUAAAUCCCUCUGAACUUCCCUCACACCAGCAGUAACUAUGGUUAACAAUUUGGUGUGUAUCUUUGCAGAUCCUCUCUUGGGAAUCUAUGUGUGUACAUGUACAUAUACAAUUUUCAUAUACAUCUUCUUUUUGAAAGACUUCUUUUAAAAACUAAAGUGAAUUCUUUAGUCAUGCAACUUAGGUAUUUCCCCAUUCACCAGUAACUCUUAAGACAGCAUGACACCACUUAACACACUACAUACUUCAGUUGUUUGUUGCAAAAAUAUUCCAUCGUGAACAUGUGAAGGUAAUUUACCAAUUCUCUAGAAAAAUUUUGUGAGGACUUGUCAGGACUAACAGAGUGUUUUCACAAAGAUCAUAAAGGUAAUUAUUCUGUAGUAACAGUUUUUGUGACUUUUUAAAGACCAGGCUAACUUAAAGGGACUAGCCAGUUGUCCAUUAGUGCUCAUCCUGCUAACUUAUUCCAGAAGAACAGCGAAAUAAAUAAAUACAUAGUGGCCUGUGAUCCACACAUUUGAAUUAGUUUUCAUGAACACCAUGCCUACCUACAACAUGCAAGUAUUUCCAAAUAAAACACUUUAUAUUAACUUGACCCUUUGCAAUUCAGACUAAUGCUGAUGACUGAGAAUCAUUUACUGGAUGUAUUACAGUUCUCAAGUAAUUAGUUAUAAGCUAUUUUCUUUCCCCUUUAAUUAUAAAAUAUUCUGAGUUACAGCCUCAAACCCAACAUUAAGAACUAAGUAAUUUUUUAUUAAAGUUAAGCCAUGAUCCCAGCAAACAAAGUAUCCAUCACUCAAAGGAAUUAAGCUAAUUCCUUUCCCCUUAUUUAGUUCAUCCUGGUAAAAAGAUUUAACAUAAUCCCAUUUUAAAAAUGCUCAGAAUCUUGAUAAAUGGGACAAAAGCAGAGAAGUUCCUAAUGUUGUACAGCAUUCGAAAUUAAAAUAGCAUUGUGGUCCCAUUUUCAGCUAUUAAAAAGUUAAUGAAAUAAGCAGCUUGGAGGAAACCAGCAUCACGGAGUUUAAUUCUUUUUAUUUUAAAGAUAAAAGAGCCAGAAUCGGAAUUCAUGUAAUGCCAAAACAUUUCAUGAAUCCAUUAAGUCCUCUGAGCACUUUACAUUUUCUUCUCAUUCAUUACUCAUUAAUAGCUUAUCUGAAACUUAUUAUCUCCUUAAAAGGUUAGAAAACAAAUGCUUAGCUUAGGGGAUUAAGUAUCUUGCCCAAGUGAUUCGGGUCUGUUUGUCUUUGAAUUCCAUCCUUAACCAUUCAAAUCUUAGAAGUUAGAAGGGUUAUUUUUAAUAUAUCCCAGAGUUUACAGCACUGUGUUUAUUAAGAGGAAUUAACCUCAUAAAGCAUUAAAGAUUGCUAGAUGCAAUCCUUAGAAUUGUAGGUGGUUAAUAUAGUUAUUUAAUAACCAUAAUAUAUUUGUUUCCAACUUUAAAUAUCCACAUCCAAAUUUCUAGUGAUCUAAUCUUCAAAACACUUUUAGUUUGGAAUACCUUUUAUUAUUAUUAACAAACCUUAAAUACAGAUGAGCCCA